UACGUAGGGGGCAAGCGUUGUCCGGAAUCAUUGGGCGUAAAGCGCGCGUAGGCGGCCCGUUAAGUCGGAUGUGAAAACCCAGGGCUCAACCCUGGGCCUGCAUCCGAUACUGGCGGGCUCGAGGCAGGUAGGGGAGAGCGGAAUUCCCGGUGUAGCGGUGAAAUGCGCAGAUAUCGGGAGGAACACCGGUGGCGAAGGCGGCGUUCUGGACUGCAACUGACACUGAGAAACGAAAGCCAGGGUAGCAAACGGG
rnacentral:rRNA from 1 species